ensembl:snoRNA U8 U8 small nucleolar RNA
UAUUAAGUGCUUUAUAACUAAUUCUUGCAAAAUGGAUAUAACAGAACAUGAUGACUGGAGCUUGCAUGAUAUGUGAUUAAUGUCUCUGCAUAAUCAGGACUUGCAAAAUAGAUAUAACUGUCUCCACAAAGAAAGAAACUGAG